UAGGGAAUCUUCCACAAUGGACGCAAGUCUGAUGGAGCAACGCCGCGUGAGUGAAGAAGGUUUUCGGACCGUAAAGCUCUGUUGUUGGUGAAGAAGGAUAGAGGUAGUAACUGGCCUUUAUUUGACGGUAAUCAACCAGAAAGUCACGGCUAACUACGUGCCAGCAGCCGCGGUAAUACGUAGGUGGCAAGCGUUGCCCGGAUUUAUUGGGCGUAAAGCGAGCGCAGGCGGAAGAAUAAGUCUGAUGUGAAAGCCCUCGGCUUAACCGAGGAAUUGCAUCGGAAACUGUUUUUCUUGAGUGCAGAAGAGGAGAGUAGAACUCCAUGUGUAGCGGUGGAAUGCGUAGAUAUAUGGAAGAAUACCAGUGGCGAAGGCGGCUCUCUGGUCUGCAACUGACGCUGAGGCUCGAAAGCAUGGGUAGCGAACAGGAUUAGAUACCCUGGUAGUCCAUGCCGUAAACGAUGAGUGCUAAGUGUUGGGAGGCUUCCGCCUCUCAGUGCUGCAGCUAACGCAUUAAGCACUCCGCCUGGGGGAGUACGACCGCAAGGUUGAA
rnacentral:rRNA from 1 species